UAUUUUUAAAUACUUCUUUCCACCUCACAUGGAUGAUUGCUUCUAGCUCAAUUCCAGCAAUUCUAUUUCAUCUACGUAGGAGCCGUCUCCUCCCACGAGCUUCAAAACUAAAGGGUACUAAUAAGGCAUCGUAGACUAACGGCAGUGUGGACCUUCCUUUGCAAACAUCACAAGCCAUAAGAAGAUUUCCAAUGACAUGUUCUUUCAAUGCUAUCGAAAGCGCAAAGGCUUUGAUUUGGAAACGGCCACCUUAUUGGCACUGUUAAGCAAGGAGGGCUAACUGUUUCUAAACAGAAGCAAAUUGAUAUGCACCUGUAUCACAAAUACCAUACACAAGCGCCCUCUCACCCACAUAAAGGAUGCUGCCUAUAUGUA